AAAUUGACGGGGACCCGCACAAGCGGUGGAUGAUGUGGGUUAAUUCGAUGCAACGCGAAGAACCUUACUACCCUUGACAUGUCCGGAACUUGCCAGAGAUGGCUUGGUGCCCGAAAGGGAAUCGGAACACAGGUGCUGCAUGGCUGUCGUCAGCUCGUGUCGUGAGAUGUUGGGUUAAGUCCCGCAACGAGCGCAACCCUUAUCAUUAGUUGCUACGCAAGGGCACUCUAAUGAGACUGCCGGUGACAAACCGGAGGAAGGUGGGGAUGACGUCAAGUCCUCAUGGCCCUUAUGGGUAGGGCUUCACACGUCAUACAAUGGUCGGUACAGAGGGUUGCCAAGCCGCGAGGCGGAGCCAAUCCCACAAAGCCGAUCGUAGUCCGGAUUGUUCUCUGCAACUCGAGAGCAUGAAGUCGGAAUCGCUAGUAAUCGCAGGUCAGCAUACUGCGGUGAAUACGUUCCCGGGUCUU
rnacentral:rRNA from 1 species